CCAGACUCCUACGGGAGGCAGCAGUGGGGGAUAUUGCACAAUGGGGGGAACCCUGAUGCAGCGACGCCGCGUGGGUGAAGGAGUAUUUCGGUAUGUAAAGCCCUAUCGGCAGGGAAGAAGAAAGACGGUACCUGACUAAGAAGCCCCGGCUAACUACGUGCCAGCAGCCGCGGUAAUACGUAGGGGGCAAGCGUUAUCCGGAUUUACUGGGUGUAAAGGGAGCGUAGACGGCGAUGCAAGUCUGAAGUGAAAGGCGGGGGCCCAACCCCCGGACUGCUUUGGAAACUGUAUGGCUGGAGUGCAGGAGAGGUAAGUGGAAUUCCUAGUGUAGCGGUGAAAUGCGUAGAUAUUAGGAGGAACACCAGUGGCGAAGGCGGCUUACUGGACGACAACUGACGGUGAGGCGCGAAAGCGUGGGGAGCAAACAGGAUUAGAUACCCCAGUA
rnacentral:rRNA from 1 species